AUAUUGUUGUUGUAUAUACACGCCUUUCUUGAUUUUCGCUGAUAAAGUGAAAAAUAUUUUUAUGUACAUACAUAUAUGUAUGUAUGUAUGUAAGGAAUUAUAUGCAUAUAAACAAUAUAAAAAUAAAAUAAAGCAGAUUAUAGCCUCGGCAUACAGCGUGAGUGUGACGGUUGUUGGAAAUUACAGUUGCUGCCACCAACACCUAGCCACUUAAUUAAGUUCAGGCGCAUUUAGAAAAAGGUAUGCGUACACACACAUGUAUUUUUACGUUUAUUUUUCAUUUUAUAGCAAUCGUGUUUAUUUAUAAAAUGCACACAUAAUUCUAAACACAGAAAGCUUUAAGAGCUUUUAGAGCGAGACGACCAAAUGUUUUAUAGCAAUUCUAUUAACAACAGUCACGAAUACAGAAGCAGCUAUCAGCGAUCGCCAAACCGCUUGAGGAUCGUGCGCACUGUGAUCUACACACAACCGUUUACGCUGUACACCGUUUCAAUACUGCUUGGCAAGCAGGAAAACUUGGCACUGGUUAAAAUAAAUAAAAAAAAAACUAAAAACGAAAAGGCAUAAAAAUAUAAUUAUCUACGCGCGUGCAGAAAUACUCGCUUUUGUAUGUAAAUAGGUGUCAACUUUGUUUGCUUUUAUGCAUGAACUUCGUUAUUAGCUAGUCUUUGGCCUUUUUUUAACGCUAGAUAAUUUGUUUAAUUAUUAACUUUAAUGAAUUUUCACAAAAAGUAACAUUUACGUAAAUUAAAAUGCUAUUUUUAUUAUUGAAACAAUUUUUAAACAUAAAUUCGUGGAGUAGAAAAAUGUUAAAAUAUAUUUAUUUAAAAAAAAAAAUAAUGUAUGGCAAAUAAAUGAUUGAAUAUGUUGAAGAUGAACUAUUGUCACCUUUGUAUAUAUAGCAUUUCUAUACUACUUAAAGGCACCUCAAAUUAUGGAAGGCAAUAAUAAAU
rnacentral:lncRNA from 1 species